rnacentral:rRNA from 1 species
UACGGGAGGCAGCAGUGGGGAAUCUUAGACAAUGGGCGAAAGCCUGAUCUAGCCAUGCCGCGUGGGUGAUGAAGGCCCUAGGGUCGUAAAGCUCUUUCGCCAGGGAUGAUAAUGACAGUACCUGGUAAAGAAACCCCGGCUAACUCCGUGCCAGCGACCGCGGUAAU